UUACUUGCAGACGCCGAAACUCAGCUUUCAACGCACCGUCUUCGAAUUCCUGUUAUCAGUUAUACGAAGGUCUGCAGAAGUUUUCCACAAGUUUUGUACAAUGACGAACACCUUGGACGCAGUUAGUUCCGUCGGUUAGUACGAUCAUGAUGACCUUGUAUUCUUACCAGUCGUGAAAGUCGGCAGGGGCAUUGUCUUCGCUGCAUCUCUUAGAUUGUGUCGAGAAUGCAUAGGCAUCGUUUCACCAGUGGCUAUCUUGACGCACUUCUGCAAGGUUAUUAUGCAGCGGAACCCCUCAGGGCAGCAGCUGCCGAAAUCUUCACAACACGUUGCUCGCGGGUAGGGACAACAGUUGUACGUCUCGUCGAACAGCUUGCAGCAGGUCUGGUUGUUGAAACACAUCCUCCCAUCCGGACAGUGUAUUAGCCGUCCUGGUCGAAAAUUGCAUCUCGGAAAUAUUGGUUUUUUUGGAAGACAACCACACCAGCUAGGCGAAAUGCAGCGUUUCCACCCACCGAAUAACGUACACACGCAUACAGAUA
rnacentral:lncRNA from 1 species